CGAUCACGGGUAACGGGGAAUUAGGGUUCGAUUCCGGAGAGGGAGCCUGAGAAAUGGCUACCACAUCUAAGGAAGGCAGCAGGCGCGUAAAUUACCCAAUCCUAAUUCAGGGAGGUAGUGACAAGAAAUAACAACUCGGACCUCACACGAGGUUACGAGAUUGCAAUGAGAACAAUUUAAACCUCUUAUCGAGUAACAAUUGGAGGGCAAGUCUGGUGCCAGCAGCCGCGGUAAUUCCAGCUCCAAUAGCGUAUAUUAAAGUUGUUGCAGUUAAAAAGCUCGUAGUUGAAUAUCUGGCCGGUGGUGUGCGUGGCUCCCGUAGUCUGUACAUCGCCUGGUUAUCCGUAUGGGAAACCAGCUCGACCUUCACUGUGUCGGCUGGCGGAUCAUACACUUUACUUUGAAAAAAUUAGAGUGUUUCAGGCAGGCAAUUGCUUGGAUACUGUAGCAUGGAAUAAUGGAAUAGGACUUUGACCUAUUUGUUGGUUUCUCGAGGUCAAAGUAAUGAUUAAUAGGGACAGUUGGGGGCAUUCGUAUUUAAUGUC
rnacentral:rRNA from 1 species